rnacentral:rRNA from 11 species
UUACAUGUUUUUAAACAUGCUAAAAGCACCAGAUCCCAUCUGAUCUUGGAUGCCAAACAAGAUCAGUACUGGUUAGUCCUUGGAUGGGAGACCACAAAUUAAUAUAUGUGUUGUGGGGC